GGGGAAUCUUCUGCAAUGGACGAAAGUCUGACGGAGCAACGCCGCGUGAGUGAUGACGGCCUUCGGGUUGUAAAGCUCUGUUAAUCGGGACGAAUGGUUCUUGUGCGAAUAGUGCGAGGAUUUGACGGUACCGGAAUAGAAAGCCACGGCUAACUACGUGCCAGCAGCCGCGGUAAUACGUAGGUGGCAAGCGUUGUCCGGAAUUAUUGGGCGUAAAGCGCGCGCAGGCGGAUUGGUCAGUCUGUCUUAAAAGUUCGGGGCUUAACCCCGUGAUGGGAUGGAAACUGCCAAUCUAGAGUAUCGGAGAGGAAAGUGGAAUUCCUAGUGUAGCGGUGAAAUGCGUAGAUAUUAGGAAGAACACCAGUGGCGAAGGCGACUUUCUGGACGAAAACUGACGCUGAGGCGCGAAAGCCAGGGGAGCGAACGGGAUUAGAUACCCCGGUAGUCCUGGCCGUAAACGAUGGGUACUAGGUGUAGGAGGUAUCGACCCCUUCUGUGCCGGAGUUAACGCAAUAAGUACCCCGCCUGGGGAGUACGACCGCAAGGUUG
rnacentral:rRNA from 1 species